AAUGAACACUGGCGGCGUGCUUAACACAUGCAAGUCGAACGAGAAAGCCUUGGCUUGCCAGGGCGAGUAAAGUGGCGCACGGGUGAGUAACGCGUGGGUAAUCUACCCUUGAAUCGGGGAUAACCCUUCGAAAGGGGGGCUAAGACCGGAUGAUAUCGGAUUUACUUAGGUGGAUUCGAUCAAAUAUGGCCUCUACGUGUAAGCUAUAGUUUGGGGAUGAGCCCGCGUACCAUUAGCUAGUUGGUAGGGUAAAGGCCUACCAAGGCGACGAUGGGUAGCUGGUCUGAGAGGAUGAUCAGCCACACUGGAACUGACACACGGUCCAGACUCCUACGGGAGGCAGCAGUGAGGAAUUUUGCGCAAUGGGGGCAACCCUGACGCAGCAACGCCGCGUGAGUGAUGAAGGCUUUCGGGUCGUAAAACUCUGUCAAGUGGGAAGAACCUGUUCAUGGGUAAUAUCCAUGGAUACUGACGGUACCACUGAAGGAAGCACCGGCUAACUCCGUGCCAGCCGCCGCGGUAACAC
rnacentral:rRNA from 1 species